rnacentral:rRNA from 1 species
AGACCCGAAACCCGGUGAUCUAGCCAUGGGCAGGUUGAAGGUUGGGUAACACUAACUGGAGGACCGAACCGACUAAUGUUGAAAAAUUAGCGGAUGACUUGUGGCUGGGGGUGAAAGGCCAAUCAAACCGGGAGAUAGCUGGUUCUCCCCGAAAGCUAUUUAGGUAGCGCCUCGUGAAUUCAUCUCCGGGGGUAGAGCACUGUUUCGGCAAGGGGGUCAUCCCGACUUACCAACCCGAUGCAAACUGCGAAUACCGGAGAAUGUUAUCACGGGAGACACACGGCGGGUGCUAACGUCCGUCGUGAAGAGGGAAACAACCCAGACCGCCAGCUAAGGUCCCAAAGUCAUGGUUAAGUGGGAAACGAUGUGGGAAGGCCCAGACAGCCAGGAUGUUGGCUUAGAAGCAGCCAUCAUUUAAAGAAAGCGUAAUAGCUCACUGGUCGAGUCGGCCUGCGCGGAAGAUGUAACGGGGCUAAACCAUGCACCGAAGCUGCGGCAGCGACACUGUGUGUUGUUAGGUAGGGGAGCGUUCUGUAAGCCUGUGAAGGUGUGCUGUGAGGCAUGCUGGAGGUAUCAGAAGUGCGAAUGCUGACAUAAGUAACGAUAAAGCGGGUGAAAAGCCCGCUCGCCGGAAGACCAAGGGUUCCUGUCCAACGUUAAUCGGGGCAGGGUGAGUCGACCCCUAAGGCGAGGCCGAAAGGCGUAGUCGAUGGGAAACAGGUUAAUAUUCCUGUACUUGGUGUUACUGCGAAGGGGGGACGGAGAAGGCUAUGUUGGCCGGGCGACGGUUGUCCCGGUUUAAGCGUGUAGGCUGGUUUUCCAGGCAAAUCCGGAAAAUCAAGGCUGAGGCGUGAUGACGAGGCACUACGGUGCUGAAGCAACAAAUGCCCUGCUUCCAGGAAAAGCCUCUAAGCAUCAGGUAACAUCAAAUCGUACCCCAAACCGACACAGGUGGUCAGGUAGAGAAUACCAAGGCGCUUGAGAGAACUCGGGUGAAGGAACUAGGCAAAAUGGUGCCGUAACUUCGGGAGAAGGCACGCUGAUAUGUAGGUGAAGUCCCUCGCGGAUGGAGCUGAAAUCAGUCGAAGAUACCAGCUGGCUGCAACUGUUUAUUAAAAACACAGCACUGUGCAAACACGAAAGUGGACGUAUACGGUGUGACGCCUGCCCGGUGCCGGAAGGUUAAUUGAUGGGGUCAGCGCAAGCGAAGCUCUUGAUCGAAGCCCCGGUAAACGGCGGCCGUAACUAUAACGGUCCUAAGGUAGCGAAAUUCCUUGUCGGGUAAGUUCCGACCUGCACGAAUGGCGUAAUGAUGGCCAGGCUGUCUCCACCCGAGACUCAGUGAAAUUGAACUCGCUGUGAAGAUGCAGUGUACCCGCGGCAAGACGGAAAGACCCCGUGAACCUUUACUAUAGCUUGACACUGAACAUUGAGCCUUGAUGUGUAGGAUAGGUGGGAGGCUUUGAAGUG